rnacentral:rRNA from 1 species
CUCAUGGUUUCACGGUAUUGCAAUGAGAACAAUUUAAAACCCUUAGCGAGAAUCAAGUGGAGGACAAGUCUGGUGCCAGCACCCGCGGUAAUUUCAGCUCCACUAGCGUAUAUUAAAGUUGUUGCAGUUAAAAAGCUCGUAGUUGAACCUCUGUCUGGGGCUAGUUUUGGCUUUGGUCAGGCUAGUUCUAGGCAUCCGCCUACAAGACUUAGAGGGCAUUCAGUUGUUCACUAGGAGGAGUAGGCAUUUUACUUUGAAAAAAUUAGAGUGUUUAAGGCAGGCAAUCGCCCGCAUAUAUUAGCAUGGAAUAAUAGAAUAGGACACUUUUCCAUUUCGUUGGUUAUUGGAAUCGUGUAAUGAUUAAUAGGGACAGUUGUGGGCAUUUGUAUUUAAUUGUCAGAGGUGAAAUUCUUGGAUUUAUUAAAGACAAACUAACGCGAAAGCAUUUGCCAAGGAUGUUUUCAUUAAUCAAGAACGAAAGUUAGGGGAUCAAAGACGAUCAGAUACCGUCCUAGUCUUAACUAUAAACUAUUCCGACUCAAUGUUUGACUGGCUUAUAUAACCAGUUGAGCGUUGUAUGAGAAAUCAAAGUCUUUAGGUUCUGGGGGGAGUAUGGUUGCAAAGCUGAAACUUAAAGGAAUUGACGGAAGAGCACAACCAGGAGUGGAUUCUGCGGCUUAAUUUGACUCAACACGGGGAAACUUACCAGGUUAAAACAAUAGUGGGAUUGACAGUUUGAGAGCGCUUUCUUGAUUGGUUGGGUGGUGGUGCAUGGCCGUUCUUAGUUGGUGGAGUGAUUUGUCUGCUUAAUUGCGUUAACGAACGAGACCUUAACCUGCUUACUAGACUGGCGAUCAUCAAUCGUUAGCUCUUCUUAGAGGGACUUUGGUUGUUUUAACUCCAAGGAAGUUUGAGGCAAUAACAGGUCUGUGAUGCCCUUAGAUAUCCUGGGCCGCACGCGUCAUACAAUGACUAGUUCAGAAAGUUUUCUCCUGACCCGAAAGGGGAUGGGUAAUCUUGAUAAUACUAGUCGUGUUAGGGAUCGAUCUUUGCAAUUAUAGAUCUUGAACGAGGAAUUCCUAGUAAGUGCGGUUCAUCAGACCGUACUGAUUACGUCCCUGCUCUUUGUACACACCGCCCGUCGCUUCUACCGAGUGGGUGGUCCGGUGAGAUAAUUGAACUUCGCAGGUAACUGAGAGGAAAGAUUAUCAAACCUAUCCACCU